GAUGAACGCUGGCGGCGUGCCUAACACAUGCAAGUCGAACGGACUUUUCAUGAAGCCUAGCGAUUGAAAAGUUAGUGGCGGACGGGUGAGUAACGCGUGGGUAACCUGCCUUGUACUGGGGGACAACAGUUGGAAACGACUGCUAAUACCGCAUAAGCGCACAGCUUCGCAUGAAGCAGUGUGAAAAACUCCGGUGGUACAAGAUGGACCCGCGUCUGAUUAGCUGGUUGGUGAGGUAACGGCCCACCAAGGCGACGAUCAGUAGCCGGCCUGAGAUGGUGAACGGCCACACUGGGACUGAUACACAGCCCAAACUCCUACGGGUGGCAGCAGUGGGGAAUAUUGCACAUUGGGUGAAACCCUGAUGCAGCAACGCCGCGUGAGUGAAGAAGUAUUUCGGUAUGUAAAGCUCUAUCAGCAGGAAAGAAAAGGACGGUACCUGACUAAGAAGCCCCGGCUAACUACGUGCCAGCCGCCGCCGUAA
rnacentral:rRNA from 1 species